AGCGCAGGCGGUUUUUUAAGUCUGAUGUGAAAGCCUUCGGCUCAACCGAAGAAGUGCAUCGGAAACUGGGAAACUUGAGUGCAGAAGAGGACAGUGGAACUCCAUGUGUAGCGGUGAAAUGCGUAGAUAUAUGGAAGAACACCAGUGGCGAAGGCGGCUGUCUGGUCUGUAACUGACGCUGAGGCUCGAAAGUAUGGUAGCAAACA
rnacentral:rRNA from 1 species